GACGUAGGAUGCAAGCGUUGUCCGGAAUUAUUGGGCGUAAAGCGUUCGUAGGUGGCCUGUCAAGUCUGACGUUAAAGCCCGGAGCUCAACUCCGGUUCAGCAUUGGAUACUGACAAGCUAGAGUGCAGGAGGGGCAAGGGGAAUUCCUAGUGUAGCGGUGAAAUGCGUAGAUAUUAGGAGGAACACCGGUGGCGAAAGCGCCUUGCUGGACUGUAACUGACGCUGAGGGACGAAAGCCAGGGGAGCAAAUGGG
rnacentral:rRNA from 1 species